UCAGCCUACGGGAGGCAGCAGUGGGGAAUAUUGCACAAUGGGCGCAAGCCUGAUGCAGCCAUGCCGCGUGUAUGAAGAAGGCCUUCGGGUUGUAAAGUACUUUCAGCGGGGAGGAAGGGAGUAAAGUUAAUACCUUUGCUCAUUGACGUUACCCGCAGAAGAAGCACCGGCUAACUCCGUGCCAGCAGCCGCGGUAAUCUGA
rnacentral:ncRNA from 1 species